rnacentral:rRNA from 1 species
UCUUCCACAAUGGGCGAAAGCCUGAUGGAGCAAUGCCGCGUGGGUGAAGAAGGUCUUCGGAUNGUAAAACCCUGUUGUUAGAGAANNCCNNNCNUGAGAGUAACUGUUCACGUUUCGACGGUAUCUAACCNNNANGNCACGGCUAACUACGUGCCAGCAGCCGCGGUAAUACGUAGGUGGCGAGCGUUAUCCGGAUUUAUUGGGCGUAAAGGGAACGCAGGCGGUCUUUUAAGUCUGAUGUGAAAGCCUUCGGCUUAACCGGAGUAGUGCAUUGGAAACUGGGAGACUUGAGUGCAGAAGAGGAGAGUGGAACUCCAUGUGUAGCGGUGAAAUGCGUAGAUAUAUGGAAGAACACCAGUGGCGAAAGCGGCUCUCUGGUCUGUAACUGACGCUGAGGUUCGAAAGCGUGGGUAGCAAACAGGA